UCUUUUUUUUUAAAAAUAAACCCAAGUCUUAAUGAUUUCAAUUUGUUAUUCUAUGUACUUAAUAUUCAAUAUUAAUUUGUACAUAAUCCUCGUUCAUUUUGGCAGUACAUUAAGAAAAUUAAAAAUAAGAAUGAUUUACCGAAUAGUAUGUCAUGUCAUAUAAUGACACAAGUUCUGAAGAACUGUUAACUAUUUAUAAUAUGUUCUCUGACUACUUCGCCUCUGUUUAAGUAAAACAUCUUCUACUGAGUUUGUCUUCAUUCCAUUAUGUUGAGGAUUUGUUAAGCUAUUCAAGUUUUGUUAUUACAGUUGUGGAAGUCCUUGAAGCUUUAAGUUAUUUAGGCUUCGAUACUCUUUCAGGUCCUAAUAUGUUGCCUUCUAUUUUGCUCAACUGCUGCCAUUAUGCGUUAACAAAAACCUAUCUAUUGCCUAUUUUCUCUCUUGUUGUCAACUGGAGAAUUCCCUUUGAAGUGGAAAUCUUUGUAAGCUUUGUUACCCCAAUAUAGAAGUUCGGUGAUCGUUCUUUGAUUAAUAAUUACAUAUCAAUAUCGAAAUUAAGUACUCAGCCAAAGUUAUUAAAAAAAACUAAUGGUUCCAAAGAUGUCUAGCACUUUUAAUAGUAUAUUAAUAAAUGAAUAACAUUGUUUUCGUACUGAAAAAUCAAUUAAUACAAAUUGUUUAGUCUUUAAUUAUUUUUUAAUGCACUAAGUAUCCAGUGGUAAGCAAGUUGACGUAGUAUAUACUGAUUUGAGAAAGGCAUUUGACACUGUUGACUACGACAUUCUGAUUGGUAAGCUCAGGAAAAUCAGUGUUACUGAUCUAUUUUUAUCAUGGCCUCAUUCCUAUUUGACAGGCCGCACUCAAAUGAUAAAAAACGGUAGUUUAGUUUCUAACGAAGUCUCUAUAUCAUCUAGAGUACCUCAGGGAGGACAUUUGUCUCCAAUACUUUUCUUAAUUUUUAUCAAUGGCAUAGAGAAUAUUUUCAGAUAUUGCAGAUUUUCACUAGGUAUUUGUGGAUAAUUUAAAGUCUUACUUGCCUGUGGCAUCAGUUAACGACGGUAAAAAUUUUCAAUCAGAUUUCAACCGUCUGGUUGACUGCUGUUCAAAUAAUGGCCGUUUUAUUAAUAUUUCAAAAUGUGUUAAUCUUUCUUUUAGCCGUCACCGAUUGUAAAUUUAUUCUAAUUGUAUAAUUAGCAAUGAAGAGAUUAUUCAGGUGAACCAGGUUUGUGACCUGGGAGUAAUAUUUAUCGAGUAUCUUAGUUUUAACUCGCGUAUUAAUUCUAUUUAUACUAAAUCUCUAAGUGUAUUUGGAUUUUUAAAAAGAAAUUGUUGUGAAUUCAAAAAUAUAAAUUACUUUAUUGCAUUUUACUGCACAUACGUUAGAUCUAUUUUAGAAUUUGAAUUUGUGGAACCCAUCUCAGUCUGUUGUAUUUAUGUGUAUUAGUGUAUUGUAUUAGUGUUAAGUUAAUGUAAAAAAAAUGCUGUACUUUUACCCCUUGCAGGUGUUAAUUAUAAUAAAUAAAUAAAAUGUUAAAACAAAUUGGUUAUUUUGUAGUUACCGAGAGUAGAUGAUUUUAGUAACAUUCCUUGUGUAUUUUUAGUCAGUGCGACGCUAUAGUGAAAUAUUUAUAGUACAAUACAAAUUGUAUCGUUGUCGUUUCGCCUAAUUGAUCAUAGGCAGAAUCGCCAGUGCUGAAACGUCCUAGACUCUUAGAUCCUAAGUAGUCAACAAAUAUUAUUUUGUUAUGUCGCAAUUUGUAUUUAUCAUUAUCAAACACGACAAUAAUG